rnacentral:misc_RNA from 1 species
GUGAAGAACGCAGCGAAAUGCGAUAAGUAGUGUGAAUUGCAGGAUUCAGUGAAUCAUCGAAUCUUUGAACGCACAUUGCGCCCUUUGGUAUUCCUUAGGGCAUGCCUGUUCGAGCGUCAUUUAAACCUUCAAGCUAAGCUUGGUGUUGGGUGACUGUCCGCUUCACGGCGGACUCGCCUCAAAAUUAUUGGCGGCCGGUACAUUGGCUUCGAGCGCAGCAGAAACGCGAACUCGGGCCCGUCGUAUUGGCUCCCAGAAGCUAUCUUCACAAUUUUGACCUCGGAUCAGGUAGGGAUACCCGCUGAACUUAAGCAUAUCAAUAAGCGGAGGA